UGGAGCCAAAAUACUUUGUCCAAAAUAUCCUGUCCUGUCCUUGUUGCCGCCAGGUGCUCAGAUAAUGCACUUUUAACAACCUCGUCCUCACUACAAACAUGCCUCUAAAGUCCUUGUUUGUCCUCAUAGUGCCUCGUACACAAACUGCCCCACGC